rnacentral:rRNA from 1 species
UACAGAGGUGGCAAGCGUUGUUCGGAAUUACUGGGCGUAAAGGGCUCGUAGGCGGCCAACUAAGUCAGACGUGAAAUCCCCAGGCUCAACCUGGGAACUGCGUCUGAUACUGGAUGGCUUGAAUCCGGGAGAGGGAUGCAGAAUUCCAGGUGUAGCGGUGAAAUGCGUAGAUAUCGGGAGGAACACCAGUGGCGAAGGCGGUUGCCUGGAGCUUUGCUGACGCUGAUGCGCGAAAGCGUGGGGAGCGAGCCGG